rnacentral:tRNA from 1 species
GGACGAUUAGCUCAGCUGGCUAGAGCGUCUCAUUUACACUGAGAAGGCCGGGGGUUCGAGUCCCUCAUCGUCCA